GCUGUCUCCUCUGGAUCUCUGGUGACCCAGCCCAGCCACAGCGGACCUGCCAGGUGACAACCAUGAGGUUUGUCAGGAGGUGAAGGCUAAGAAAGGGAAGCUGCCAGAGGAAUCAGGCUGCUGAAGGGAUGGCAGAAGAAGCCAGAGAAGCAAUAAAAACCAGAUGACUCCACAUGGACUGCACACGUGGAAGAAAUGUCACGACCUGCAAGUUUGUCAUUGGCCAUGGCAGAGAGACCACCUUUACUUGCCAGCCUCAGAGAGCUCGUGCUUGAGGGAACUGCCAUCUCCAAAGCAUACCAACCUCCAUCCUCUUAAUUCCCCCAACUCCUCGUCCACCAUAGUAGGAAGCAUCCACCGUGGGCCACUUCUUGGAAG